ensembl:lncRNA
AUCGUAUACACUCAACCUCUGUUGUGUGAAACAGAAAGAAAGAGCUACCUACCUGGAGCUGCAGGCCGUGCUGGUGGGUUCAUCAGUCUCCUGAUCCGGGCCUGCAGCUCCCCUGGGCCCAUCGGACGCCCGCGCACAAGGGCCGAGAAAUUGGGAGCGGUCGGCUUGCGGGGCGGCAGCACGGUGGAAGCAGCGGCCUUCCUGGUGGUGGUGCUGAGGCCGCUGCUGGUGCUGCUGCUGGCGGGCGGAGGGGGUGUAGCAGCCGCCUCCGCCGACCGCUCCUUGUCUCGGCCCCAGAUGUACUUCAUAGCGACGUCCAUGGCGCUCCCAGGCUGCGGGGUCUUCCGCCGUAGCCACUUGACGUAGCUGCAAGACAACGAUCCAAGAGUUGACACGCAUAGCAACAUGUCACAGCACCGUGUCAACAGUCCACUGCCCUUCACCGCUUACGUCUGACGCUCCUCCUCCUUGGAGUCGUACAGGUCCUUCAGGGUGUCCUCCUUGAACAGCCCGAUGCCAACAAGCGCCUCGCCCCCCCGCCCGGGCAGAGUGGCGCGAGCCCGGCCUCCUCCUGCGCCCGGCGGAACUUGAGGUGCUCCGCAAAAGCGGGGUGGGCGCAGGAGUAGCGGGCGAGGCUGUCCUUGUUGGCCAUGAGCGGGCUGUCCGAGGCACUCGUCUCCCGCUCCCGCUGGUGACUGGCGACCACGUGGCAGGCGUAGCCCGCGUCGUUCUCCAGGAGCCAUCGGAAGGUCUGACCCCGGUACUUCCCCAGCUGGAUGCUGUGGCAGUCCAGCACCAGCAUGGGGUUCCCAGGGUCACCACCCUCGGAGACGACGCGGGCUCGGGCCUCCUUCUCCACCUCCCCCGGCUUCUUGGCCCUGGCGGGAGCCUGGGUCCCGCGUGGCCCCGUGGCGGCGGUGAAGGCUGCCGCCGAAUCAGAGGCCCGCAGGACCAACUGAUGCGACGGCGUCAUUUUUAAAUUUGCAAAAGACAUCUACAAUGACAACAAAUAACAUGACACAGCAUUAAACGAGCAUUGCAUUAAACGAGCAUUACAGUUUACUCCCUUAAAGUGACUUUUAUGUUCAUGGAUGCUUACAGGAAAGAUAACAGAUGGUUUGACAGGUUGGAAUGCGCGCAAUCCGUUUCAAUGGGAAUCGCGACUCUCCGUAAUUUCAACAUUAAUUUUAACAUAUUUAUAAUUUGAAAUUCGUCCCAGCCUUUAUACCACAUACACUCUAUGGUAUAUAGCAUAUAACCGAGUCGUCUGAUCGCAUUUUAAUGCAUUUUUCACGAUAUACGAGCACUCGUUGUGAAUGCUAACCGCCGCGCAAUCCGUUUCAAUGGGAAUCGCGACUCUCCGUAAUUUCAACAUUAAUUUUAACAUAUUUAUAAUUCGAAAUUCGUCCCAGCCUUUAUACCACAUACACACUAUGGUCUAUAGCAUAUAACCGAGUCGUCCUCUAACAUUUUAACGCAUUUUUCACGAUUUACCAGUACUCGUUUUCAAGGCUAACUCCCGCGCAAUCCGUUUCAAUGGGAAUCGCGACUCUCCGUAAUUUCAACAUUAAUUUUAACAUAUAAUUCGAAAUUCGUCCCAGCCUUUAUACCACAUACACACUAGGGUCUAUAGCAUAUAACCGAGUCGUCCUCUAACAUUUUAACGCAUUUUUCACGGUUUACCAGCUCUCGUUUUCAAGGCUAAUCGCCACAUCCUACCUUAUCCUCGAAUGCAGAGAUAAUGGCUGACACACG